rnacentral:rRNA from 1 species
CCUACGGGAGGCAGCAGUGAGGAAUAUUGGUCAAUGGGCGCGAGCCUGAACCAGCCAAGUCGCGUGAGGGAAGACGGUCCUAUGGAUUGUAAACCUCUUUUGUCGGGGAGCAAAAGACGCCACGCGUGGCGUUCCGAGAGUACCCGAAGAAAAAGCAUCGGCUAACUCCGUGCCAGCAGCCGCGGUAAUACGGAGGAUGCGAGCGUUAUCCGGAUUUAUUGGGUUUAAAGGGUGCUCAGGCGGAAGAGCAAGUCAGCGGUAAAAGUGAGAGGCUCAACCUCUUCGAGCCGUGGAAACUGGUUUUCUUGAGUGAGUGAGAAGUAUGCGGAAUGCGUGGUGUAGCGGUGAAAUGCAUAGAUAUCACGCAGAACUCCGAUUGCGAAGGCAGCAUACCGGCGCUCAACUGACGCUCAUGCACGAAAGUGUGGGUAUCGAACAGGAUUAGAUACCCGGGUAGUC